rnacentral:rRNA from 1 species
CCUACGGGAGGCAGCAGUGGGGAAUUUUGGACAAUGGGCGCAAGCCUGAUCCAGCAAUGCCGCGUGCAGGAUGAAGGCCUUCGGGUUGUAAACUGCUUUUGUACGGAACGAAACGGUCUGCCCUAAUACGGUGGGCUAAUGACGGUACCGUAAGAAUAAGCACCGGCUAACUACGUGCCAGCAGCCGCGGUAAUACGUAGGGUGCGAGCGUUAAUCGGAAUUACUGGGCGUAAAGCGUGCGCAGGCGGUUAUGUAAGACAGAUGUGAAAUCCCCGGGCUCAACCUGGGACCUGCAUUUGUGACUGCAUAGCUAGAGUACGGUAGAGGGGGAUGGAAUUCCGCGUGUAGCAGUGAAAUGCGUAGAUAUGCGGAGGAACACCGAUGGCGAAGGCAAUCCCCUGGACCUGUACUGACGCUCAUGCACGAAAGCGUGGGGAGCAAACAGGAUUAGAUACCCUGGUAGUCCACGCCCUAAACGAUGUCAACUGGUUGUUGGGUCUUCACUGACUCAGUAACGAGCUAACGCGUGAAGUUGACCGCCUGGGGAGUACGGCCGCAAGGUUGAAACUUAAAGUGAAUUGACGG